UCUAUAUUUGAGGAAAUUUAACUUUGUUCUCACAUUCAUUUACAAAUAAAUGUUAAUCUGGAAAAAAUAAUAAUUUUUAUAAAAACUCCUCGGAAACUUUGGUAAGAAACAAUAUUUAUCCAAAAAUGGGAAUUUAGAACAAACAGAAAUUUGUUUUACAGAUAAGUGAUGAUAACACCAUGGUAAUUCAAUACACAAAAAAAUUGACACAGACCAUUUUAAUUGUUCCAAAGUAGUUUGUUAGAAUUGAGGUUUAUCUUCCUGAUCACCAUCACUACAAUCUGGACUAACAUCAGGACUGUUAGGAUGUCCCUAAACGGCUGGAUUAAGUAGGAGUCUUGAGGCAGAGAAACGGUGCAGAUCCACUGGGUGUUUAUUCACCAACAGUUAACACCUAGGCCUGCUUGCAAUGGCCAAGGGUUUCAGCAGCAACAACUCACAAUGUGGCCAACAUGCAGCCUUUUAUAGUCCCUGGCUGCUCCAAUUAACAAACCCACAAAAAACAGGGUAAAAAAAAUACAUACAUACACACAAACAAACUUCACAAAAACAACCAAAUCUUCAGAAUAAUAUUAGCAAAUACUAUUCAUUUUUAAGUAGUCAUUUCGUUUCCAAAAAGACAUUUUUAUAAAUAUAAAUCCAACAUUAAAUUUCUAAAGUGCAUCGUUCUAUUUCUCCCCCUCUUCCAUCUGCAAUGGUCUCUUCCGGAACCUUUAAAAGGUGUUCAGGCCCCUGGGGAAUCUUUUAGCCUGAACACCCUGCAGAGGAAGAGACAGAAGACACCAUCAGUUCCAGCUGAGAUGCCACUGCAUAAAAACACACAAUCAAUAAAAUACUUCAAUUUGUUUGUA